UAGGUGAACCUGCGGAAGGAUCAUUGUCGUUUGCCCGGAAAAAACACGACCGUCGUGCACGUAACCUAAUCUGUUGCUGUCGGGAGGCAUCGCCGCCCCGGCCCACCGGCCGCGGUCCUCAAUCGGGCUGCGCGCCGGGAAUACGGCGCGGUCUGCGUCAAGGAACACGAGAUGCUGAGGCGGCCGGCGGAGCGCUCCGACGCACCGCCUGCCGUCCAUGCAAAGGAAAACAUGAUGACUCUCGGCAACGGAUAUCUCGGCUCUCGCAUCGAUGAAGAACGUAGCGAAAUGCGAUACGUGGUGUGAAUUGCAGAAUCCCGCGAACCAUCGAGUCUUUGAACGCAAGUUGCGCCCGAGGGAUCCGCCCGAGGGCACGCCUGCCUGGGCGUUAGAAGCCUAUCCACGCUCGGUGCUUACUCAGCCCCGAUGCGGAUCGUGGCCCUCCGAGCCUCUCAUGGCACGGUGGGCCUAAGUGUGCGGCCGCCGGGAGGAGCCGGGAGCGGCGAGUGGUGGAAUGCUGCGUACGCCGCCCCGCGCCCCUUGUCGGCAAAUGGCUUUGACCGACCCUCGAACGGGGUGUCGUGCCUAACCCACGGCGCGACGCCUUCGGAUCGAUACCCCAGGUCAGGCGGGGCUACCCCAUAAGAAAAACCCCA
rnacentral:rRNA from 1 species